AUACGGAGGGUCCAAGCGUUAUCCGGAUUCAUUGGGUUUAAAGGGUCCGCAGGCGGGAAAAUAAGUCAGUGGUGAAAGCCUACAGCUCAACUGUAGAACUGCCAUUGAUACUGUUUUUCUUGAGUAUAGAGGAAGUGGGCGGAAUAUAUCAUGUAGCGGUGAAAUGCAUAGAUAUGAUAUAGAACACCGAUUGCGAAGGCAGCUCACUAAACUAUUACUGACGCUCAGGGACGAAAGCGUGGGGAGCGAACAGGAUUAGAAACCCUUGUAGUCC
rnacentral:rRNA from 1 species